GCAGUCGUGGCCGAGUGGUUAAGGCGAUGGACAAGAAAUCCAUUGGGGUCUCCCCGCACAGGUCCGAAUCCUAUCGACUGCG
rnacentral:tRNA from 1 species